CUCUGUUCUCUCUUUUUCUCUUGCACAUGCAACUACAGGAGCAUACAGAGAAGGCACGCUCAAAUAUAUACAUCAACGCCAUGUCGGACUCAGAGACUGCAGCUCCUGCCGAGACCCCUGUCCCGGCACCCUGUGUGGCCAUCAAGGCUGAUUUAGACAAAUGUGUAAAGGAGAAUGGCGAGGAAGCAUGUAAGGAGCUGAUUGAGGCGUUUGCUGCCUGUGUGAAGAGCAAUGCUGAGGCGUCAUGAGGAGCUCAACAUGCAGGAGAAUGGAUAACUGCACUGAGUCCUCCACCUUCCCAGCAUUCCCUGCAGCUCAUGGCACUGGACUCUGAUUACUCUAAUGGGGUUGGCAGCAGAGACCAUACUUGUGUCUCUUCCCUUCUCUACCUCCCUGUGAAGCUUAAAUGGAUUCCUAGAACCACCCACCUCCCCUCCCCUUAUGUGGAUGAUUGUAUAGAUCUGAUCUGUAGACAGUUUGGAAGAGCUUAUGAUUUGAUGUAAAUUACGUGUCUCAGAUGCUAACAAAGUGGAAUAAAGAUUUAUAAAUGGUUCAACAUUUGUAACAUUUGCUUCAUCUUGACUAUAUUCUGUGUUUAACUCCUGUACCCAAAAGGGCUUGUUCACCCAAAAAUAAAAAUGAUCAUAAU